rnacentral:rRNA from 1 species
AUUGAACGCUGGCGGCAGGCCUAACACAUGCAAGUCGAGCGAGCGGCGGACGGGUGAGUAAUGUCUGGGACACUGCCUGAUGGAGGGGGAUAACUACUGGAAACGGUAGCUCAUACCGCAUACCAUCAGCUGUGCCCAGAUGGGAUUAGCUCGUAGGUGGGGUAACGCCUCACCUAGGCGACGAUCCCUAGCUGGUCUGAGAGGAGGACCAGCAACACUGGACUGGAGAAACGGUCAAGAAUCCUACGGGAGGCAGCAGUGGGAAAUAUUGAACAAGGGGCGAAAGCUUGAUGCAGCAAUGCGGCGGGUGUGAAGAGGGCCUGCGGGUUGUAAAGCACGUUCAGAGGGGAGGCGGUACUUGCAGAAGAAGCACCGGCUAACUCCGUGCCAGCAGCCGCGGUAAUAC